rnacentral:lncRNA from 11 species
GGCAAAGUCUCAUGUUUCUUAUCCUGGCUGAGGUUCCGAGAACUUGAGUCGGCUAAAUUAGCAAGCAAACAUGAUCAGUGAGAAAUUUUCUCUGGAUCUUUGUUGUCAACAACGUCUUCUUCUAAGGUUGCAUUUUUGUUUCUGACGGAAGCCGGGACCAGUACAAAGUACCAGCCCUGGCAGCAUAAUCUAAUGGCGAUGGAGGAAAGAGACCACAUCAAGAUGUCGUCGGAAGAUACAGAGUCACCUUGGUCCUGGAAAAUGUUUACAGUAGAAUCUCACGUAACUGGAACUCAAGCAAAGAGAACUCUCAAGCAACUGAUGAAAAAAAGA